rnacentral:tRNA from 1 species
GGGGAUAUAGCUCAGUUGGUAGAGUGCUUGCCUUGCAUGCACAAGGCCCUGGGUUCAAUUCCCAGCACCCCCC